GUGCUCGCUUUAGCAGCACAUUUACUAAAAAACUGGAAGGAUAGAGAAGAUUCGCAUGGCCCCUGAGCAAGGAUGACAUGCAAAUUCGUGAAGUGUUCCUUUUUUUU
ensembl:snRNA U6 U6 spliceosomal RNA